CGGCGAGUGAACGGAGAUUAGCCCAGCACCGAAGCCCACUGUCGUUUGGCAGCAAGGCAAUGUGGUGUUCAGGCGGGCACCUGGGGUUGCUGAGUUGCUCUAAGUCCAUCUAUGAUUCGUGGCGCCAACUUGGUCCUUAGCGGGUGGAAGACCCUUGCGAGCAACUUUUUCGGUUUGUUAAAGCAGCCCCCAGAUGUGUCUGUUWUGGAGUCGGAUUGCWUGAGAAUGCAGUCCAAAGUGGGUGGUAAACUCCAUCCAAGGCUAAAUACCUGCACGAGUCC
rnacentral:rRNA from 1 species